CCAAUGGGAUACUUAGUACGGCGAGUGAGCGGUAAAAGCUCAAAUUUGAAAUCUGGUACUUUCAGUGCCCGAGUUGUAAUUUGUAGAAUUUGUCUUUGAUUAGGUCCUUGUCUAUGUUCCUUGGAACAGGACGUCAUAGAGGGUGAGAAUCCCGUUUGGCGAGGAUACCUUUUCUCUGUAAGACUUUUUCGAAGAGUCGAGUUGUUUGGGAAUGCAGCUCAAAGUGGGUGGUAAAUUCCAUCUAAAGCUAAAUAUUGGCGAGAGACCGAUAGCGAACAAGUACAGUGAUGGAAAGAUGAAAAGAACUUUGAAAAGAGAGUGAAAAAGUACGUGAAAUUGUUGAAAGGGAAGGGCAUUUGAUCAGACAUGGUGUUUUUUGCAUGCACUCGCCUCUCGUGGGCUUGGGCCUCUCAAAAAUUUCACUGGGCCAACAUCAAUUCUGGCAGCAGGAUAAAUCAUUAAGAAUGUAGCUACUUCGGUAGUGUUAUAGCUUUUUGGAAUACUGUUAGCCGGGAUUGAGGACUGCGCUUCGGCAAGGAUGUUGGCAUAAUGGUUAAAUGCCGCCCGUCUUGAACCAACGGGACCA
rnacentral:rRNA from 1 species